CAGCAGCCGCGGUAAAACGGAGGGAGCUAGCGUUGUUCGGAAUUACUGGGCGUAAAGCGCGCGUAGGCGGUUACUCAAGUCAGAGGUGAAAGCCCGGGGCUCAACCCCGGAACUGCCUUUGAAACUAGGUGACUAGAAUCUUGGAGAGGUCAGUGGAAUUCCGAGUGUAGAGGUGAAAUUCGUAGAUAUUCGGAAGAACACCAGUGGCGAAGGCGACUGACUGGACAAGUAUUGACGCUGUGGUGCGAAAGCGUGGGGAGCAAACAGGAUUAGAUACCCCGGUAGUCCCUGUCUCUUAUAC
rnacentral:rRNA from 1 species